rnacentral:rRNA from 1 species
UGGCGGACGGGUGAGUAAUGUCUGGGAAACUGCCUGAUGGAGGGGGAUAACUACUGGAAACGGUAGCUAAUACCGCAUAACGUCGAAAGACCAAAGAGGGGGGACCUUCGGGCCUCUUGCCAUCGGAUGUGCCCAGAUGGGAUUAGCUUGUUGGUGGGGUAAUGGCUCACCAAGGCGACGAUCCCUAGCUGGUCUGAGAGGAUGACCAGCCACACUGGAACUGAGACACGGUCCAGACUCCUACGGGAGGCAGCAUG